GAUGAACGCUAGCUACAGGCUUAACACAUGCAAGUCGAGGGGCAGCAUUUCAGUUUGCUUGCAAACUGGAGAUGGCGACCGGCGCACGGGUGAGUAACACGUAUCCAACCUGCCGAUAACUCGGGGAUAGCCUUUCGAAAGAAAGAUUAAUACCCAAUGGUAUAAUCAGACCGCAUGGUCUUGUUAUUAAAGAAUUUCGGUUAUCGAUGGGGAUGCGUUCCAUUAGGCAGUUGGUGAGGUAACGGCUCACCAAACCUUCGAUGGAUAGGGGUUCUGAGAGGAAGGUCCCCCACAUUGGAACUGAGACACGGUCCAAACUCCUACGGGAGGCAGCAGUGAGGAAUAUUGGUCAAUGGGCGCAGGCCUGAACCAGCCAAGUAGCGUGAAGGAUGACUGCCCUAUGGGUUGUAAACUUCUUUUAUAUGGGAAUAAAGUUUUCCACGUGUGGAAUUUUGUAUGUACCAUAUGAAUAAGGAUCGGCUAACUCCGUGCCAGCAGCCGCGGUAAUACGGAGGAUCCGAGCGUUAUCCGGAUUUAUUGGGUUUAAAGGGAGCGUAGGUGGACAGUUAAGUCAGUUGUGAAAGUUUGCGGCUCAACCGUAAAAUUGCAGUUGAUACUGGCUGUCUUGAGUACAGUAGAGGUGGGCGGAAUUCGUGGUGUAGCGGUGAAAUGCUUAGAUAUCACGAAGAACUCCGAUUGCGAAGGCAGCUCACUGGACUGCAACUGACACUGAUGCUCGAAAGUGUGGGUAUCAAACCAGG
rnacentral:rRNA from 1 species